rnacentral:lncRNA from 1 species
GGGCCACAGAAUCGAUGCCCAAGGUCUUCAUCCGGAGCGGACCAACCUCGAGGCAGUGACCGAAGCUCCAAGACCGACCUCGGAGGAGGGCAGCAGUGAAGUGCUCUCUGAAUAUGUGCUGUACACGCGGGGGUGGGACGACCAACCUAUGUCCGCCCAGCAGAUGGCCACCAUGACUACGCGGGACAGCCUGCUUCGCCAAGUAAAAGCCUGGAUUUACGCCGGAUGGCCGUCGCACCUGCGCCCGGAGCAGCACCAGUUCCUACCGUACUUCAGCCGCAGAUCUACCCCUAUGAAAGAGGGCAAGUCGCCAGCCGAGUUGUUGUUAGGCUUCAGGCCCAGGACAAGGCUAACCGGCUUCUUCCCGAGGGGCGAG